AGAUACUAACUCCUAUAUAUAAAAUAGAUAAACAACAAAGUCCUGCUGCACAGCACAGGGAGCUACACUCAGUCUCUUGCAAUAACCUAUCAGGGAAAAGAAUCUGAGAAAGAACAUAUACGUGUGUAACAGAAUCACUGUGCUGUGCACCAGAAACUAACACAACACUGUCAAUCAACCAUACUCCAAU